UGAGGAAUAUUGGUCAAUGGGCGAGAGCCUGAACCAGCCAAAUCGCGUGAAGGAGGACUGCCUUAUGGGUUGUAAACUUCUUUUAUACAGGAAUAAAAAAGGGGACGUGUCCCUUAUUGCAUGUACUGUAUGAAUAAGCAUCGGCUAACUCCGUGCCAGCAGCCGCGGUAAUACGGAGGAUGCGAGCGUUAUCCGGAUUUAUUGGGUUUAAAGGGUGCGCAGGCGGGCUUUUAAGUCAGCGGUGAAAUCUCGGGGCUUAACUCCGAAACUGCCGUUGAAACUGGGAGUCUUGAGUAUGGAUGAAGUAGGCGGAAUUCGUUGUGUAGCGGUGACAUGCUUAGAUAUAACGAGGAACUCCGAUUGCGUAGGCAGCUUACUAAGCCAUAACUGACGCUCAAGCACGAAAGCGUGGGGAUCAAACAGGAUUAGAUACCCUGGUAGUCCACGCCGUAAACGAUGAUUACUAGUUGUAUGCGAUAUACCGUAUGUGACUAAGCGAAAGCGAUAAGUAAUCCACCUGGGGAGUACGCCGGCAACGGUGAAACUUAAAUGAAUUGACGGGGUCAUAGCUGUUUCCUG
rnacentral:rRNA from 1 species